rnacentral:rRNA from 1 species
GUGUCAGCCGCCGCGGUAAUACAGAGGUCCCAAGCGUUGUUCGGAUUCACUGGGCGUAAAGGGUGCGUAGGUGGUGGGGUAAGUCGGAUGUGAAAUCUCCAAGCUCAACUUGGAAACUGCAUUGGAAACUACCUUGCUAGAGGAUUUGAGGGGGGAUUGGAAUACUUGGUGUAGCAGUGAAAUGCGUAGAUAUCAAGUGGAACACCAGUGGCGAAGGCGAAUCCCUGGAAAAUACCUGACACUGAGGCACGAAAGCUAGGGGAGCAAACAGGAUUAGAUACCCCGGUAGUCC